CCUACGGGCGGCAGCAGUGAGGAAUAUUGGUCAAUGGUCGGGAGACUGAACCAGCCAAGCCGCGUGAGGGAUGAAGGUACAGCGUAUCGUAAACCUCUUUUGUCAGGGAACAAAGGCGGGGACGUGUCCCCGGAUGAGUGUACCUGAAGAAAAAGCAUCGGCUAACUCCGUGCCAGCAGCCGCGGUAAUACGGAGGAUGCGAGCGUUAUCCGGAUUUAUUGGGUUUAAAGGGUGCGCAGGCGGCCUGUUAAGUCAGCGGGCAAAGCCCGGGGCUAAACCCCGGCGAGCCGUUGAAACUGGCGGGCUGGAGUUGGAGAGAAGUACGCGGAAUGCGCGGUGUAGCGGUGAAAUGCUUAGAUAGCGCGCAGAACUCCGAUUGCGAAGGCAGCGUACCGGCUCCACACUGACGCUGAGGCACGAAAGCGUGGGUAUCGAACAGGAUUAGAUACCCUUGUAGUC
rnacentral:rRNA from 1 species